rnacentral:rRNA from 1 species
UACGGGGGGGGUAAGCGUUGUUCGGAAUUACUGGGCGUAAAGGGCUCGUAGGCGGCCAACUAAGUCAGACGUGAAAUCCCUCAGCUUAACUGGGGAACUGCGUCUGAUACUGGAUGGCUUGAGUUUGGGAGAGGGAUGCGGAAUUCCCGGUGUAGAGGUGAAAUUCGUAGAUAUCGGGAGGAACACCGGUGGCGAAGGCGGCGACCUGGGUCGAUACUGACGCUGAGGCGCGAAAGCGUGGGGAGCAAACAGG